rnacentral:rRNA from 1 species
UUCUAGUGAUUGGAAUGAUGGGAAUCCAAACCCCUUUCAGAGUAACAAUUGGAGGGCAAGUCUGGUGCCAGCAGCCGCGGUAAUUCCAGCUCCAAUAGCGUAUAUUAAAGUUGUUGCAGUUAAAAAGCUCGUAGUUGGAUAUCUGCUGGGAGCAAUCGGUCCGCCCUUUUACAGGGGUGUGCACUUGAUGAAUUCUGGCAUGUUUUUAUCUAUUUCCUAAUGAUAAUGAUUAUUAUUAGGUUAAUUCCUAAUAAUGAUUAUUAUUGGGUUAGAUAAACCGUUACUUUGAGAAAAUUAGAGUGUUUAAUGCAGGCUGUUUUAUGCCUUGAAUACUGCAGCAUGGAAUACCGAUAUAGGAUUUCGGUUCUAUUUUGUUGGUUUCUAGGACUGGAAUAAGGGUUAAUAGGGACAGUUGGGGGCAUUCGUAUUUAAUUGUCAGAGGUGAAAUUCUUAGAUUUGUUAAAGACGAACUAAUGCGAAAGCAUUUGCCAAAGAUGUUUUCAUUAAUCAAGAACGAAAGUUAGGGGCUCGAAGACGAUCAGAUACCGUCGUAGUCUUAACCAUAAACUAUGCCGACUAGAGAUAGGAAAAUGUCAUUACUGACUUCUCCUGCACCUUAUGAGAAAUCAAAGUCUUUGGGUUCUGGGGGGGAGUAUGGUCGCAAGGCUGAAACUUAAAGGAAUUGACGGAAGGGCACCACCAGGCGUGGAGCCUGCGGCUUAAUUUGACUCAACACGGGGAAACUCACCAGGUCCAGACAUGGGAAGGAUUGACAGAUUGAUAGCUCUUUCUUGACACUAGGGGUGGUGGUGCAUGGCCUUUCUUCGUUGGUGGAGUGAUUUGUCUGGUUUAUUCCGUUAACGAACGAGACCUUAACCUGCGAAAUAGGGUCAGGAACACAAACAUUUGCAUCUUAAUGGUGUGAUGUAUGUGUUUUUGUAUCACUUCUUAGAGGGACUUUGCGUGUGUAACGCAAGGAAGUUUGAGGCAAUAACAGGU